GAUGAACGCUGGCGGCGUGCCUAAUACAUGCAAGUCGAGCGAACAGACGAGGAGCUUGCUCCUCUGACGUUAGCGGCGGACGGGUGAGUAACACGUGGAUAACCUACCUAUAAGACUGGGAUAACUUCGGGAAACCGGAGCUAAUACCGGAUAAUAUAUUGAACCGCAUGGUUCAAUAGUGAAAGACGGUUUUGCUGUCACUUAUAGAUGGAUCCGCGCCGCAUUAGCUAGUUGGUAAGGUAACGGCUUACCAAGGCAACGAUGCGUAGCCGACCUGAGAGGGGGAGUGGCCACACUGGAACUGGGACAAGGGCCAGACUCCUAGGGGGGGCAGCAGGAGGGAAUCUUCCGAAAGGGGGGAAAGGUUGGCGGAGCAACGCCGCGGGGGUGAUGAAGGUCUUCGGAUCGUAAAACUCUGUUAUUAGGGAAGAAAAAAUGUGUAAGUAACUAUGCACGUCUUGACGGUACCUAAUCAGAAAGCCACGGCUAACUACG
rnacentral:rRNA from 1 species